UAUAUGCUUGUCUCAAAGAUUAAGCCAUGCAUGUCUGAGUACAGACCGAUCUAAGGUGAAACCGCGAAUGGCUCAUUAAAUCAGUCAUAAUUCCUUGGGUAGUGAAAAACUUUCCUCGGAUAACUGUGGAAAAUCCAGAGCUAAUACGUGCAACUGAGCUCCGACCUCGACGCAAGUCGUGGGAAGAGCGCAUUUAUUAGAUUCAAAACUGACCGGUGUACUCCUUCGGGAUAUGCCGUUUGUCUAAAGUUUGAUGACUCCGGAUAACUUAGCCGAGCGCUACGGUCUUUAGAACCGGCGCCGUAUCUUUCAAGUGUCUGCCUUAUCAGCUUUCGAUUGUAGGUUAAACGCCUACAAUGGCUGUAACGGGUAACGGGGAAUCAGGGUUCGAUUCCGGAGAGGGAGCCUGAGAAACGGCUACCACAUCUAAGGAAGGCAGCAGGCACGCAAAUUACCCACUCCUAGCCCAGGGAGGUAGUGACGAAAAAUAACGAUGCGAGACUCUUCCGAGGCCUCGCAAUCGGAAUGAGUCCAUUAUAAAUGUAUGGACGAGGAUCCAUUGAAGGGCAAGUCUGGUGCCAGCAGCCGCGGUAAUUCCAGCUUCAAUAGCGUAUAUUAAAGUUGCUGCGGUUAAAAAGCUCGUAGUUGGAUCUACUAGACCAUUUCGUGGGUGAGUCGCUCUUUGUACUAGCUUCUCGCGCGGUUCCUCGAUGGCGUAAGCGUUUGCGGGGUUCACGUUUUACUCUCCACUCUUUCGGGAGUUUAAAAGGUAGUAGUAUGCGUUGUAGCCGCGCGUUUACAGAAUCUUGCGGACGGCGAGGGGCUGUCAUCGGGUAUAGCUCGUCCGCGUUUGGUACAAUUAAAAUUUUGUCGGCUCGCUCGGAGUGCUCUUUACCGAGUGUUCCAGGGUGGCCGACACGUUCACUUUGAAAAAAUUAGAGUGCUUAAAGCGGGCCUAUCAAAGGGCCUGAAUGUCUGUGCAUGGAAUGAAGUAACAGGACCUCGAUUCUGUUGUUUUUGUCGGUUUUAAUGAACCGAGGUAAUGAUUAAAAGGGACAGACGGUGGCAUUAGUAUUGCGACGCUAGAGGUGAAAUUCUUGGACCGUCGCAAGACUAACUACUGCGAAAGCGUUUGCCGAGAAUGUUUUCAUUAAUCAAGAACGAAAGUUAGAGGAUCGAAGGCGAUCAGAUACCGCCCUAGUUCUAACCCUAAACUAUGCUAACUAGCGAUCCGCCGGAGUCAUUCCCACGACCCGGCGGGAAGCCCCAGGGAAACCAAAGUCUUUGAGUUCCGGGGGAAGUAUGGUUGCAAAGCUGAAACUUAAAGGAAUUGACGGAAGGGCACCACCAGGAGUGGAGCCUGCGGCUUAAUUUGACUCAACACGGGAAACCUCACCAGGCCCGGACAUCAUAAAGAUUGACAGGUUGAGAGCUCUUUCUCGAUUUGAUGGGUGGUGGUGCAUGGCCGUUCUUAGUUGGUGGAGUGAUCUGUCUGGUUGAUUCCGAUAACGAACGAGACUCUACCUUACUAACUAGUCGGCGGAUCGUUACCCUGAGAUGGUUAGUUUGUAUAGGAGAGUUUUUACCGAGGUGAAGGUUUUAUUCUCGAACGAGGGGUAAACUACUAUAGCCUUUAGGGGUUAGAAAUAGUUCCUUGUCGUCUCGGGGUAUACUUCUCCGAAGUUGCUCUMUGAUUACUACUACUGCUGGGGGCGUCCGUCGCAAUAUAUCUUCUUAGAAGGAUCAGCUGCGUAUAGCAGUACGAGAAAGAGCAAUAACAGGUCUGUGAUGCCCUUAGAUGUUCUGGGCCGCACGCGCGCUACAAUGUAAGGACCAGCGUGCUUUCCCCCUCCGAAAGGAACGGGUAACCCGUUGAAAGCCCUACUCGAUUGGGAUUGGGGAUUGCAAAUAUUUCCCAUAAACGAGGAAUUCCCAGUAAGCGCGGGUCAUCAACUAGCGUUGAUUACGUCCCUGCCCUUUGUACACACCGCCCGUCGCUACUACCGAUUGAAUGAUUCAGUGAGGGCAUCGGACUGGCGCCUUCGGUUUUGAAACAUAGACCUUAGGCUGACGGAAAGAUGUCCGAACUCGAUCAUUUAGAGGAAGUAAAAGUCGUAACAAGGUUUC
rnacentral:rRNA from 1 species